AGAAGAACUUAGGCGACAUCAGGAUUACUUGAAGCAACAAGCUGCGCAACAUGAAUAUUAUGCUACACAGAUUCAGCAACAGCAAACACUCAUACAACAACUAGCAGAUGCCCAAGGGAUACACGUCCCGGUGCCCCCCCCCACCACCUCCCGUUCAUUAUCCUUGGUCUUCACCUCCACCUAUACCUACAUCUCCAUCUACCGAACAUCAGACCCCUCCAGCUACCUUGCCGACGCAUGAACAAGAGGACGGGUUAGACUUUGUCGAAACCCUCUUCAACAGUGGAGGUAUCGAUGGUGAUCGGCGAUCGUGAGCUUCCAUGUUAUUGCGUUCUGAUACUUGAGACUUUUAUUAUGACUAUGUAUGAGAUAUUGUCUUUUAUUAGUAUUGGAUGAUGAUAUGUGUGAGACUUUUGUGAUGUAAUUGAUGACACUAUGGAUGAGACUUUUGUGAUGUAAUUGAUGAGACUAUGGAUUUAUAUAUUGU